rnacentral:rRNA from 1 species
AUUGAACGCUGGCGGCAUGCCUUACACAUGCAAGUCGAACGGUAACAGGUCUUCGGAUGCUGACGAGUGGCGGACGGGUGAGUAAUACAUCGGAACGUGCCCGAUCGUGGGGGAUAACGAAGCGAAAGCUUUGCUAAUACCGCAUACGAUCUACGGAUGAAAGCAGGGGACCGCAAGGCCUUGCGCGAACGGAGCGGCCGAUGGCAGAUUAGGUAGUUGGUGGGAUAAAAGCUUACCAAGCCGACGAUCUGUAGCUGGUCUGAGAGGACGACCAGCCACACUGGGACUGAGACACGGCCCAGACUCCUACGGGAGGCAGCAGUGGGGAAUUUUGGACAAUGGGCGAAAGCCUGAUCCAGUCAUGCCGCGUGCAGGAUGAAGGCCUUCGGGUUGUAAACUGCUUUUGUACGGAACGAAAAGACUCUGGUUAAUACCUGGGGUCCAUGACGGUACCGUAAGAAUAAGCACCGGCUAACUACGUG